UCUAGAAGUGAACAUGUUCCAGGUGAUGUCCCUAUGUAAACCAAGGGUUGGUUUUCAGUGUUCUGGAGGCUGGGAUGUCCAAGGUCAAGAUGCUGACAGAUUGAUUGUCCCUGGAAAGCCUGCUUCAUAGAUGACCAUCUUCUCCGUGUGUUCUCCCUGUGUUCUCAGGAGUGGGGUUACCUUUCUGGUGCCUCUUUUUCAUAAGGACACUAUUCCCGUUCCUGAGGGCUCCAUUCUCAUAACACAACAUCCAGAAGGUCCUACAUUCUAAUAUCAUCAUACUGCAGCUUGGGUCCUCAUAUGAGAGAUGUAUGGAGAAAAUACCUAAAUCUAUCUUAUAACCUGGAGCAGAGCCACCACAGCUUCAGAUAUGUAACAAUUAUGGUGUUUACUCUCUUGAAUAAUUUUAUUUUGCUUAUUCAGAAACCUCAGCAAAUAAAAAUCUUUUUGGAAA
rnacentral:lncRNA from 10 species